rnacentral:rRNA from 1 species
ACACAACAAUAACGGGGGGAAAAAGAAGAACUAACAAGGAUUUCCCUAGUAGCUGCGAGUGAAGCGGGAAAAGCUCAAAUUUAAAAUCUGGCAGUCUUUUGGCUGUCCGAGUUGUAGUCUGGAGAAGUGCUUUCCGCGCUGGACCGUGUAUAAGUCUCUUGGAACAGAGCGUCAUAGAGGGUGAGAAUCCCGUCUUUGACACGGACUACCAGUGCUUUGUGAUGCGCUCUCAAAGAGUCGAGUUGUUUGGGAAUGCAGCUCAAAAUGGGUGGUGAAUUCCAUCUAAAGCUAAAUAUUGGCGAGAGACCGAUAGCGAACAAGUACCGUGAGGGAAAGAUGAAAAGCACUUUGGAAAGAGAGUUAAACAGUACGUGAAAUUGCUGAAAGGGAAACGCUUGAAGUCAGUCGCGUCGUCCGGAACUCAGCCUUGCUUUUGCUUGGUGCACUUUCCGGUUGACGGGUCAGCAUCGAUUUUGACCGUCGGAAAAGGGCUGGAGUAAUGUGGCACCCUCGGGUGUGUUAUAGACUCUGGUCGCAUACGGCGGUUGGGAUCGAGGAACGCAGCGCGCCGUAAGGCAGGGGUUCGCCCACUUUCGCGCUUAGGAUGCUGGCAUAAUGGCUUUAAACGACCCGUCUUGAAACACGGACCAAGGAGUCUAACAUACCUGCGAGUGUUUGGGUGGAAAACCCGAGCGCGUAAUGAAAGUGAAAGUUGAGACCCCUGUCGUGGGGGGCAUCGACGCCCGGACCUGACGUUCUCUGAAGGAUCCGCGGUAGAGCAUGUAUGUUGGGACCCGAAAGAUGGUGAACUAUGCCUGAAUAGGGUGAAGCCAGAGGAAACUCUGGUGGAGGCUCGUAGCGAUUCUGACGUGCAAAUCGAUCGUCAAAUUUGGGUAUAGGGGCGAAAGACUAAUCGAAUCAUCCAGAUGCCG